GUUGAGCCAAAGCUACUUAUACCCAUAAUAGCAGCCAGUUCGGUAUUCUCACCUACUAAUCUAGGUGAGUUCUUUUCCUUGUUUACUUUUUUUUGCUUCCGCCGAAGCUUUUUAGCUUCUAAUUCUUGGUGAUACCGUUCAACUCUUUCCUUCAAGCUGUACUCUUCUGAUCCUUUUUCUGGCUCUAAUAAUUGUCUGCGCCAAUAUUCCAUUCGUUCUUUAACCUCUUCUAAUGUAGCGCGCUUUUCGAUGAUGACAGUUCUAGUUUUUCGUAAAUCUGUUAAUAAGUUAGAUUAGUAAACUUUUAAACAGAAAGGUAUAACAUACGCUGUGUACUAUUUAGAUGGUCAAGCCAACUUAAAGAAUCUUUAUAUGUCUCGUUACAUGCUUCACAAUACCAACCAGCUCCACGGCCUCUUCGGCCUACCGAAGCUCCAGCGGGGAAGUAUAGUAGUUUUAUUUACGUCUUUUUCAAAGUCAAUUCGUUGUGUACGUCCUCCGGUAAUUACGACUUCAUUUUUUUUUGAAUUGCCAUUCCUUCUUGGGGGAUUAUAUCUGUCCAUGACUCCUUGUUUUUAUUUAAUAAAUUACUUUUCUCUA